ensembl:rRNA 5S_rRNA 5S ribosomal RNA
AUUGGCAGCCAUAUCACCCUGUAGCCCAAGACUGGUUGCCCACUGAAGCUAAGCUGGGCUGAGCCUGGUCAGUACCUGGAUGGGAGACCUCCUGGGAAAACUAGGUUGCUGCUGGAA